GACGAACGCUGGCGGCGUGCCUAAUACAUGCAAGUCGUACGCACGGAGAUGGAACUUGUUCUGUCAAAGUGAGUGGCGCACGGGUGAGUAACACGUGGGAAACCUACCCUUCAGCGGGGGAUAACCAUCGGAAACGAUGACUAAUACCGCAUAGACGACAGCGUCGCAUGACGCAAUCGGGAAAGACGGCUUCGGCUGUCACUGAAGGAUGGUCCCGCGGUGCAUUAG
rnacentral:rRNA from 1 species